UUUUCCCCUUUUAUUGUAUUAAAAGAGAGAGAAAGAGAGAACUCUCUCAACUUCUCUCCACCGGAGAGUGAAACGUCUGCCGCCGGCGUGCCUCGCCGACGUUCACGGUGGCUGGAGAUGCAACAAAGCCCCCAAAAUGUUCUUCUAUUCCUCCUAAUCCCGAAAUCAAGACCCUUUUUCUCUAAAACUUAGCCAAAAUGCCUAGAUCUAAUUGUAUACCUUUCAAAAACAAAGCAAUUCGGUGUCCUCUCGACUUCCCGAUGACCGGCGACGAAUAUAAGGUGGCGGAAAACGGAGCUGAUGAUGGCGGCGUGGCUUUCGGCAGUGGGUAAUGACCAGCGAUGAUGCCGGUCCUUGCUGGCGACAGUGGCUACUGUUGAUGUUUUAGGGUUAGGGUUUAUUGCAAUUUGGCCCAGCUGUUGGGCUCACUGUUUGGGUCGACUGUUGGGCUUACUGUGUUGGGCUUGAAUUGUACUUGGCCUGCAAAAUAAUAAUAAAAUGAAAAUAAAAUAAAAAAGAAAAAGAAAAAUAAAUAAUAAGAAUAAGAAUACUAAUAAUAAUAAUAAUAUGAUUUCGAUCUCGAUCGGGACAAAACUGCUGUAGACACCGACUAUGCUUGUGCCUCUGAAUGCUUCCCCUCCUGUGGGUGGCAACGUAACAUCAUGAUGAUGUUCUAGUUCAUAUAUGCAUAUUGUUUGUAUUAUUAUAAUCCACGAUUAGAUAUGUCAGACUUCAUGCAAACCUCAUUCUUUUUUGGGUACAUGGCUUGAAUUUUCUAUGGCAUCUUCCUCAUGCUUGGUUCCAUUGGCUUUCGUGCAUCUCUGGUCUUUGUUCGCCGCAUUACCGCUCUAUCAAGUGCGAGUAGGAAUUUGGAUGGCAUUCUCUGUAUUAAAGAACAAGCAGCAUAUUGGAACAGCUUGCGUCAGACCAGCAAUGGAAGCGAGGUAUGGUUAUGUAUGGAAGCGCUAUUCCUAUUUAGUGCAGUUCUCCAUUUCUUUUGGUUUAUAUCUUCGCCAUUUUAUCUCUAAAUUCAAAAAUAUAUAAAACAGUCCUAGUUUUGUUACAUAUGGUGCUGGAAAUUGAUUCAGAAUGAACUCAAGUUUUUGUGU